rnacentral:rRNA from 1 species
AGCGAACGCUGGCGGCAGGCCUAACACAUGCAAGUCGAACGAACCUUUCGGGGUUAGUGGCGGACGGGUGGGUAACACGUGGGAACGUGCCUUUAGGUUCGGAAUAACUCAGGGAAACUUGUGCUAAUACCGAAUGUGCCCUUCGGGGGAAAGAUUUAUCGCCUUUAGAGCGGCCCGCGUCUGAUUAGCUAGUUGGUUGAGGUAAUGGCUCACCAAGGCGACGAUCAGUAGCUGGUCUGAGAGGAUGAUCAGCCACGUUGGGACUGAGACACGGCCCAAACUCCUACGGGAGGCAGCAGUGGGGAAUCUUGCGCAAUGGGCGAAAGCCUGACGCAGCCAUGCCGCGUGAAUGAUGAAGGUCUUAGGAUUGUAAAAUUCUUUCACCGGGGACGAUAAUGACGGUACCCGGAGAAGAAGCCCCGGCUAACUUCGUG